rnacentral:rRNA from 1 species
GACGAACGCUGGCGGCGUGCCUAAUACAUGCAAGUUGAGCGCUGAAGGUUGGUCCUUGUACCAACUGGAUGAGCAGCGAACGGGUGAGUAACGCGUGGGGAAUCUGCCUUUGAGCGGGGGACAACAUUUGGAAACGAAUGCUAAUACCGCAUAAAAACUUUAAACACAAGUUUUAAGUUUGAAAGAUGCAAUUGCAUCACUCAAAGAUGAUCCCGCGUUGUAUUAGCUAGUUGGUGAGGUAAAGGCUCACCAAGGCGAUGAUACAUAGCCGAACUGAGAGGGAGAGCAGCCACAUUGGGACGGAGACACGGACCAAAAUCCGACGGGAGGCAGCAGUAGGGAAUAUUCGGCAAUGGACGAAAGUCGGAAAGAGCAACGCCGCGUGAGUGAAGAAGGUUUUCGGAUAGUAAAACUCUGUUGGUAGAGAAGAACGAUGGUGAGAGUGGAAAGCUCAUCAAGUGACGGUAACUACCCAGAAAGGGACGGCUAACUACGUG